rnacentral:lncRNA from 1 species
AAGCAUUAAAUCCAACAGAAAAUUGAGACUUACCAAGUGGAAGUGGAGAAAGAGAUGUACUUGAGUAUGCCAAAGACGUACAUGUUGGUUUAUCCAAUUCCUUAAGAAAAGAUCUUACAUACCUUUUUUAUUUCAUCUUGACUGAAGGGUUGAAUCAAUCAUCCUUGUGACAUAUCGAUUGGUGUCUUACCAAAGAGAACAAAUAACCAAAAUUAAAAAGUUUCUGAUGUUUUCAGUAACACACUAUGAACAGUGAACUCGGACUGAACAAUGUUUUCAGUAUCUCAAAGAGGACGCGAUGAAGGCGGAGACUCACAAUAAAUCGCAAUGAAGGCGUAAUAGAGUAUAUUGUAAAGUCUAGAUAUACUAGUUCUAUCAAGUUAGUGUAGUUAUAGAAGAAGUAACAAACUGUGCUGAUGUGACAAGUUUGUUACUGAUUCAUUUCAUUCCUUGCUAUACUAUAUAAGGCUAGCUCUCUGAUGUAACAAAUAUCAAUGAAUCAUAAUGAAACACUGAAAAGCUUAGAAGCAAUAUCUCUCUCAUACUUUUCUAAUAUGGUAUCACGAUCCUUCACGGUCCUUGACCUUCAAGCUUCUGCAUAAGCGCUUUCUUCAACCUUGAGCUUCGUUUUUCUCUUCAAUGGCGUCUUCACCGACACAAAACGAAUCUGAGCAUAACAACUCUACUGAUUCUGUUAUUCUUCCAGUUACUACCAAAGAUUCAACUAGAUCUGGAUUAACGCAUUCUCUCACAAUCAAGCUUGAUGAGAAGAACUUUCUGCUUUGGAGCCAGCAAGUUAAUGGCGUCAUUACGGCGCACGAUCUUCAUCGUUUCGUUCUCGAUCCAAAGAUUCCACUGCAAUUCGCAUCUGAGAGCGAUCGCCUUCAAAACAAGAUCUCCGACGAAUAUCGCAAGUGGUUAACGAAAGAUCAGGUCCUAUUCACAUGGCUUCUUUCUACGAUCUCUGAUGAAGUUCUCCCUCGCGUUCUUGGUUGCAAACAUGCGUUUCAGGUUUGGGAUAAAAUUCAUAAAUUCUUCAAUUCUUUUCUCAAAGCAAAAGCACGUCAAUUACGAUCUGAAUUGAAGAACACUAAGAAAUUAGGUCGAUCUAUUAAUGAAUUUCUACUCCGCAUCAAAAUGAUUGUUAAUUCUUUGAUUGCAAUUGGUGAUGUUGUUUCGGAUCAAGAACACAUAAAUGCUAUUGUUGAUGGAUUACUAGAAGAGUACAAUUCCUUUGUUCUUGUGAUCUAUAGUCGUCUCGAUUCACCUUCCAUUGAAGAGGUUGAAUCCAUUCUAAUGAUGCAAGAGGCACAAUUUGAGAAGUAUCGUCAAGAAUUAACAAACCCUAGCGUUUCCGCUAAUCUUGCUCAAUCUGAAUUACCUUCUAAACCGGGAAAUUCAGAAUCUCAAGAAGUUGGAACUGAGUAUUACAAUGCUGGACGCGGUCGUGGUAGAGGACGCGGCCGUGGAAGAGGAAGGGGCCGAUCGAAUUCGAAUCGUCUUCAGUGUCAAAUUUGUGCUAGAAACAACCAUGAUGCUGCUCGCUGCUGUUUUCGUUAUGAUCAAGCUAGUUCUUCUCAGGCACAUCACAGAGCUCCUCCCUUCAAUUCUCACAUGCGUCCAAUGGCCAAUUUUGCUAUGCAAGGGUUUCAGGCUCCUCCCUCUGAAUAUGCUGCUUCUUCCUCAUACUCUGAAGCUCCCUGGUAUCCGGAUUCUGGAGCAUCUCAUCAUCUCACCUUCAAUCCUCAUAACCUUGCUUAUCGCACCCCCUACAAUGGUCAGGAACAGGUGUUGAUGGAUAAUGGUCAAGGUGUGUCAAUUCAAUCCUUAGGUUAUUCUUCAUUUACUGCUCCUUUCAAUUCCAAUGUCAAACUGUCUUUAAAUGAUCUCUUGCAUGUCCCAAAUAUCUCUAAAAAUCUCCUAUCUGUCAGUAAAUUUGCACAAGAUAAUAAUGUCAUCUUUGAGUUUCAUCCUUACAAGUGCUUUGUUAAAUCUCAGGAUUCUAAGCAAAUUCUUCUUGAAGGCGUGGUUGGCUCAGAUGGACUAUAUCAGUUCAAGCCUCUGCAGUUUCUGCCUUCAAUGUCUAAAUCUCUUUCCUAUUGCAAUAAUGCUACAAUUUCUUCUGUUGUAUGCAAUUCUAGUAGUUCUUCUAAUGAUAGUUUCAAUAAAUGGCAUUGUCGACUAGGUCAUGCUAAUCCUAAUGUUGUUAAGUCCAUUUUAAACUUGUGCAAAAUACCAUUUCAGAAUAAGCAUGUUUUAGAUUUUUGUGUUGCUUGUAGUGUUGGAAAAUCUCAUAAACUUCAUGCUCCUUUGUCUAAUACCACUUAUACUAAACCUUUUGAGGUUGUGCAUUGUGACCUAUGGGGUCCUUCUCCUUUUACUUCUCACUAUGGCUAUAACUACUACAUUUCAUUUGUCGACACUUUCACCAAAUACACUUGGAUAUAUUUUUUGAAAAAUAAAUCUGAUGCUAUUCAAGCUUUCAAAUUGUUUUAUCAACUGAUACAGAAUCAGUUUCAAACCUCUCUUAAGGCUCUUCAAUCUGAUUGGGGUGGGGAAUUCAGGCCGUUUACAAAUUUACUCAAUAGCCUUGGCAUCAUACAUAGGUUAACUUGUCCACAUACCUCUCAUCAAAAUGGUACAGUUGAGCGCAAACACAGACAAAUCGUUGAAAUGGGACUCACUUUACUGUCUCAUGCUUCUAUCCCUCUUAAGUUUUGGGACCACAAUUUUACUCAAGCUGUUUCUCUCAUCAAUAAGCUUCCCUCAUCUGCCAUACCCCAAUUCUAUUCUCCUCACCAUGCACUAUUUCAUAUUAUUCCUGACUAUACUAAUCUCAAAGUGUUUGGCUGUCAGUGCUUCCCUCAUCUUAGACCUUUUAAUAAGCACAAAUUUCAAUUCAGGUCUAGUCCAUGUGUCUAUCUAGGUAUGUCUCCUCAACACAAAGGUCACAAAUGUCUAGAUGCUUCUGGUAGAGUGUAUAUCUCCAAGGAUGUCGUGUUUAAUGAAUCUGUGUUUCCAUAUGCAUCCAUGUUUCCUCACUCAUCAUCUCCCAUAUCUACUACAUCUCAAUAUUAUCCUGCUACUAUAUGUUUAGAUGAUGAUAGUGAUACUGCCCCUAUUAUACCUGAACCAUCUCCAACAUCCCCUAAUACCAUAACAUCUCCUUCUACCUCAUCUCAAUCUGCCUUACAACCUUCUUCUCCAAUAAAUAAUAGCUCUCAGCAGGAACCUCCAGCACACAAUUCCUCCCUUCCCCAUGCACAUAUUCCUCCUAAGAAAUAUCUUCCUCACCCCAUGAUCACAAGAACCAAAACUGGAAAAUUAAAACCAAAAGUGUUUCUCACUGAACUUGCCCCCAAGACUGUGAAAACUACUCUAUCUGAUCCCAGGUGGCUGCAAGCUAUGAAAACUGAGUACAAAGCUUUGAUUGAUAACAAAACAUGGGAUCUUGUUCCUCUUCCUCCACACAAGAAAGCUAUUGGCUGCAAGUGGGUUUAUAGAGUUAAAGAAAACCCAGAUGGAUCUGUUAACAAAUUUAAAGCCAGAUUAGUGGCUAAGGGUUUCAGUCAAACACUUGGAUGUGAUUACACUGAAACUUUCUCUCCUGUAAUAAAACCUGUCACUAUCAGGCUCAUUCUCACCAUUGCUAUCACUUAUAAAUGGGAAAUUCAACAAAUUGAUAUCAACAAUGCCUUUUUGAAUGGUUUUCUUCAAGAGGAAGUGUAUAUGUCUCAACCUCAGGGAUUUGAAGCUGCUAAUAAAUCUCUGGUGUGCAAGCUGAACAAAUCACUCUAUGGCUUAAAGCAAGCACCACGUGCAUGGUAUGAGAGGCUAACCAGUGCACAAAUUCAGUUUGGUUUCACUAAAAGUCGUUGUGAUCCAUCAUUACUUAUCUACAAUCAAAAUGGAGCUUGCAUCUAUCUGUUAAUAUAUGUGGAUGACAUUCUCAUCACUGGUUCCUCUGCAUCUCAAGUGCAUGAGCUCAUUCAAAAACUUAAUCACAUAUUUGCUCUUAAGCAACUUGGGAAACUUGAUUACUUCUUAGGCAUUGAGGUUCAAUAUUUGUCAUCAGGGGCACUGUUACUUACUCAGUCCAAGUACAUUCAUGAUUUACUAUGUAAAGCUGACAUGGAAAACUCUAACUCAAUUGGCUCUCCAAUGGUUAGUAGCUGCAGACUGAGCAAAUUUGGUACUGACUCUAUGUCUGAUGCCACACUUUAUAGGUCCAUUGUUGGUGCCUUGCAGUAUGCUACUUUGACCAGACCUGACAUAGCUUUUAGUGUCAACAAGGUUUCUCAAUUUAUGGCAAAUCCAUUAGAAUCUCAUUGGACAGCUGUCAAACGGAUUCUACGGUAUCUGAAGGGGACACUUGAUCAUGGUCUGCUCAUACAUCCCUCUCAAACUGGUCCUCCUUUUUCAUUAAGAGCCUACAGUGACUCUGACUGGGCUACUGAUCAGGAUGACAGAAAAUCUGUCUCUGGUUCCUGCAUAUAUUUUGGGCCAAAUCUCAUAUCAUGGAGCUCUAAAAAGCAGCAAGUUGUUGCAAGAUCCAGUACUGAAGCAGAAUAUAGAAGCAUGGCACACACAACUACUGAAUUACUCUGGAUACAGUCUCUUUUACAAGAACUCAGAGUUCCUUUUUGCACUCCUACACUCCUGUGUGAUAAUCUAAGUGCUGUUGCUCUCACACAUAACCCCAUCCUUCAUUCUAGGACUAAACACAUUGAGCUAGACAUCCAUUUUGUGCAAGAAAGCGUCAUCUCUAAGCAACUUCAAGUUCUUCAUGUUCCUAGCACUGAACAACUAGCAGACCCUCUUACCAAGCCUCUUUCUCCAGCAAAAUAUGCCUCCAUCAGGGACAAACUAAAGGUGUACUCUCAUAGAGUCCCGCCUUGAGUUUGUGGGGGGUGUAAUAGAGUAUAUUGUAAAGUCUAGAUAUACUAGUUCUAUCAAGUUAGUGUAGUUAUAGAAGAAGUAACAAAUUGUGCUGAUGUGGCAAGUUUGUUACUGAUUCAUUUCAUUCCUUGCUAUACUAUAUAAGGCUAGCUCUCUGAUGUAACAAAUAUCAAUGAAUCAUAAUGAAACACUGAAAAGCUUAGAAGCAAUAUCUCUCUCAUACUUUUCUAAUAAGGCGAAAAAAGCAAAAGUAAACGCAAAGGCGGCGGCUAAGGUUUAUGUGGAAGCAAGGCCCCCUAAGAUCAAAAGCUUCGAUGCCAUGUGAAAACAUACUAUUAUAUUUCAGAGAUAAAAAAAAAUGUACAACCACUAAUAUGUUUAUAUAUAACAUAUUCUAACCUAGUUGACCUAAUUAUUGACUAACAAACCAAUUAUAAAUUACUGAUAAUAGUAUUAAAACAUCACUAUUUCAACAAUGUAUUUAUAUUAAUCACCCUAAUUUGUUUUUCUUUCUUUG